rnacentral:tRNA from 1 species
GCCCAAGUGGCGGAAUGGUAGACGCAAGGGACUUAAAAUCCCUCGGUAGUUUUUACCGUGCCGGUUCAAGUCCGGCCUUGGGCACCA